rnacentral:rRNA from 1 species
UACGUAGGGUGCAAGCGUUAAUCGGAAUUACUGGGCGUAAAGCGUGCGCAGGCGGUUCGGAAAGAAAGGUGUGAAAUCCCAGAGCUUAACUUUGGAACUGCACUUUUAACUCCCGGGCUAGAGUAUGUCAGAGGGAGGUGGAAUUCCGCGUGUAGCAGUGAAAUGCGUAGAUAUGCGGAGGAACACCGAUGGCGAAGGCAGCCUCCUGGGAUAAUACUGACGCUCAUGCACGAAAGCGUGGGGAGCAAACAGG